UACGAAGGGGGCUAGCGUUGCUCGGAAUUACUGGGCGUAAAGGGCGCGUAGGCGGGUCGCUUAGUUAGAGGUGAAAGCCCAGGGCUCAACCCUGGAAUUGCCUUUAAGACUGCAUCGCUAGAAUUGUGGAGAGGUAAGUGGAAUUCCGAGUGUAGAGGUGAAAUUCGUAGAUAUUCGGAAGAACACCAGUGGCGAAGGCGACUCACUGGACACGUAUUGACGCUGAGGUGCGAAAGCGUGGGGAGCAAACAGG
rnacentral:rRNA from 1 species